rnacentral:rRNA from 1 species
UAGGGAAUCUUCCACAAUGGACGCAAGUCUGAUGGAGCAACGCCGCGUGAGUGAAGAAGGUCUUCGGAUCGUAAAGCUCUGUUGUUGGUGAAGAAGGAUAGAGGCAGUAACUGGUCUUUAUUUGACGGUAAUCAACCAGAAAGUCACGGCUAACUACGUGCCAGCAGCCGCGGUAAUACGUAGGUGGCAAGCGUUGUCCGGAUUUAUUGGGCGUAAAGCGAGCGCAGGCGGAAUGAUAAGUCUGAUGUGAAAGCCCACGGCUCAACCGUGGAACUGCAUCGGAAACUGUCAUUCUUGAGUGCAGAAGAGGAGAGUGGAACUCCAUGUGUAGCGGUGGAAUGCGUAGAUAUAUGGAAGAACACCAGUGGCGAAGGCGGCUCUCUGGUCUGCAACUGACGCUGAGGCUCGAAAGCAUGGGUAGCGAGCAGGAUUAGAUACCCUGGUAGUCCAUGCCGUAAACGAUGAGCGCUAGGUGUUGGGGACUUUCCGGUCCUCAGUGCCGCAGCAAACGCAUUAAGCGCUCCGCCUGGGGAGUACGACCGCAAGGUUGAAAC